rnacentral:RNase_P_RNA from 1 species
GGGUAGGUAGAAAGUGGUCGCUGGCCAAAUAAUUUUGGCUAGAGGAAAGUCCGGGCUCCAGAGGAUAGCGCGCUCUGUAACUCAGAGCGUCCGCACUAAUUUGUUGCGGACAGGGAGAGUGCCACAGAAAACAAACUUCCCGUUGCCGUAACAGGCAGCAGGUAAAGGUGAAAAGGUAGUGUAAGAGACUACCGUAAGCUAUAGCGAUAUGGCUUGCAAGGAAAACCCCGCGUGGAGCAAGGUGAAAUAGGGGAUGAGCGCUGAUCCGGCGCGUUAAUAGUCUCGGGUAAACUGCUUGAGUCCCGAAGGCAACUUCAGGAUCGAGAGAAAUGACUACUUGCGAUACGGAUAUUCGUAUCAAGACAAAACUCGGCUUAUUCUACCUACCCUUCU